rnacentral:lncRNA from 1 species
ACGUUUGCAUAACAACCAAAGUUAUUAAUUACUAAUAAAAUUUAUGUGUAUAUUAUUUAUUAACAACCAAAAGUCAAGUACUUAACAAAUUGUUUAGCACUAACCCGAGAUACAAAUCCAAGCUAUCGAUACAAGUAUGUAAGAUAUGCAGCUCCCACAUGCAUAUGUCCCAACUGAAUAUAAUAUCUCUCAAAAUGUACAGGU